rnacentral:lncRNA from 1 species
AUGCCUGCAGCUGCAACUAUCACACCACCAUCAUCCCCACAACCUUCUCAUAAAAAUGUCUCAACUCAUUCUUCAACAGCUUCGGAUCCAGAACCUACGCAAGAUGCUUCUACUUCACCUCCUCCUACUCCUCCUCCUACGUCUGUUCCCCAUGAAAACUCUCCUACUCCAAGAACCUCUUCGUCUUCUUCUUCAGUGGUUGUUCCUGUAGUUCUUGCCUGCGUGGGCGGUGUUGUUCUCGUCCUCCUUGUAGCUACCGGUGUGUUCUACUUUAAAAAUAAAGUAGGGAAGUCAGUGAAUCCUUGGCGUACAGGUCUUAGCGGACAACUUCAGAAAGUAUUUGUAACUGGUAAUAAUAUUCUUUCUCAUUUGUCACGUUAUGUUUGGUGAGUUCACUUAACUUCAUAAUGUUUCUCAACUAAUGUGUGUUUUUAUUACUCAGGUAUCCCAACUCUCAAAAGAUCAGAGAUUGAAGCUGCAUGUGAAGACUUCAGUAAUGUCAUUGGAUCAUGCCCCAUUGGGAAGCUCUUCAAAGGAACACUAUCAAGUGGAGUGGAGAUAGCUGUUGCUUCUAUUGACACUACUUGUGCCAAUGACUGGAAAGAAAAUACAGAGAUUCAAUUCAGGAAGAAGGUAUGUUAUAUUAGUUAUACUUUUUAUAUGUGUUACAAAAAAAAAAAACCACGUCUCGCUCGGUCGUCAAAAGUACUCUGACGAGCAGAUCAAGUAAGUUUUCGGAUCUCACCUCCCUAUCUCUUCGAGAGUAGGAUUCGUAAUCUGGUGGAUUAGUUACAAGAUUUAGUACUUGAGAAUCUGCUGCUGACGGUUUAUCCAUCGUGUGGUUGUUGUAUUGUAGUGUGGAGUACAAUCUCUCGUAUGUGUAUCAGUAUCACACCAUGUAUGCUUGCUCCGAUACGCAUUUUUGGUUUCAGGUUCUUUAAGGAAUCGAGUGUCGAAGAAAGAGAGCACGCUGAGAAGUUGAUUCAUCCUGCUCUCCGUGCUUAUUUCUUUUGAAUGUUUGUGGUGUGAUCUUCAGGGACAUGGCAUUUCAAUCAAAUGCUUCUGGAACAGUUAAAGCGGCUUCAAGGGAAUUUUAAGGUCUCGCGUACUCUCGUGGGGUUAUACUCUAUGAAGCUCUCUAGCAAUGUAUCAGCUAGCUUGUGUGUUAGUUUCUCAAGGUUUUGUGAUGCAGAGCUUUGACGAUUGGUUGUUUUUAUGUAUAUAUCGAGAAAUAUUUUAAAUACAUUAAAAAUAACUAUGUCGUCUUCACACUUUGUAUAUUGCGCCUCACAGAGCUUUGACGAUUGGUUGUUUUUAUGUAUAUAUCGAGAAAUAUUUUAAAUACAUUAAAAAUAACCAAUUCAACUUUUUUAUCUAUAAAAAAUCAAAAUUUUUUAAAAAAAUUUUUGGUCAAAUUAGAUCCUUUUAUAUCGGAAUUUUAGAAGAUACAUAGCUUAAAUUAGAUAUGUUUUAAUUUUUUAUUCAUCUAUAAAUAUACUUCUCUUUCUUUGUAAAUUUAAAACACCUCUAGUUCAUUAUCUAAGAUGAAAAAUGAUGUUCAACCUUCGCUUAUUGGUCUCUUCAUAGUCACAGUUCUUCUGUUCGGUUGAUAUUUAUAUUUACAAUUUUAUUAUUAUAUUCAAAAAUCAUUUAAAAUUAAAGUUAUUCUGAUAUCAUAUUAUUUUAUGUACUGAUAUAACAUUUAUAUCGAAUUCUAUAACUUUGGGUGUAGAAAUUUUUUCCAAAAUAAUCAAUGAUUAAGAAAGAAGAUGUUCAUACUUUAAGUUUUUUUCCCUAUAAAUAUGCAAAAAAACUCUCUAAGCAUAUGUUUUACCAAAAACAUUAAUUUCUAUUUAAAUACGAAGACUAAAGUUUUGUUUUAACUAUUAUAAUAACAGGAGUAAUGACGAUUGCUCAGAAAGGAGGACCACCACAUAAAUUACUUCCUUGUACAAUAGAAUACAAACUGAAAAAUGGAGACUGUACUAAGGACGAUUGUAAAGCUGAAUGUACCAGAAAAAGGAAUGGGAUUGGUGAAUGCAUUGGCCCGCAGGUGGGGGGGCCUUGCUUAUGCAUGUAUCAAAAACAUAAAAAUAAUAUGUGUUACCCUUGAUUUUUUUAUCUACAUUGGAACUCAAAUAAUAUUUAUAAUAAUACACGUCUUUAUCAGAGGAAAAAACAUAACAUUAUUAAUUAUUGUUAGUGUUUGUGGCAUAAUAAAUUGUAUUAUGUUACCAAAUAUAAAUAUAAAUAACAAAUAUUAAUAUGUCGUUCGUCUCUUUAACUUUUCUUUUUCUUCGGUAGCGUGAAUUAACAAAUAUUAUAUUAUAAUUAGUACUUAUUUUAUAUAAAUUUGAAAGAAAAAAUAAUAAUUUUUUUUAAUCAUCCACAGCCUCGUCAUCAUCACUCCAUCGGUCUUCUUCUUCAUCAUCCUUGUCCACUUUUCUGGCGAAAGCAUCUCAACGGUCAAAAAUGCUUCUCAAGACGGUUUCUUCGUCUUCUGCUGCUCGUGAGUUUCCAUGGCGGAAUCAAGGACGUUUCUCCUCUGCUAUCCUCCGCGAACCUUCCUGGAAAAUACACCACCGGUAAUCGGAUCCUGAUGCAGUGAUAUCACCGGAGCUUCUUCCACUUCAGUCUCCGAUCAAUCACCUAGGUGAAACUCUUCCUCUUCGAUUCUCUCUUCUCGUGAAUCGCCUCUUCUCAGUUCUCGUCGUCUGUAACAAAAUUUCCUCUAAAAUUUGAAAAGUAAUAUCAAGGUAAAGUUAGAAUUUCCUCUAAAAUUUUAAUCUAGUGUAUAUAUGAAAACAUGCAUGUGACCUCUUUCAAAAUUGAUUUAUAUGUUACUACUAUAUCAUACAUUAGUUUUUUUAAUUUUUUUAAAUAUCCAUCACACCUAUAUUAUUAUAUGCAAAGUGAUUUUUCACAUUUUAGCUCUGAUGUUAAAAUUUAAAGUGAUUAAUAUUGUUUAUAAAUAGUUAUGGAAAAAAAAAUAUGCAUCAAAAGGAGCCAAGCGGCGUCGUUUUCCAGCUGUUUGAGGAGGUUAAGAAGGAGCUCGAUCUCGUCCCUAGAAGCUCCCACGUCUCGCUCGGUCGUCAAAAGUACUCUGACGAGCAGAUCAAGUAAGUUUUCGGAUCUCACCUCCCUAUCUCUGGUGGAUUAGUUACAAGAUUUAGUACUUGAGAAUCUGUUGCUGACGGUUUAUCCAUCGUGUGGUUGUUGUAUUGUAGUGUGGAGUACAAUCUCUCGUAUGUGUAUCAGUAUCACGCCAUGUAUGCUUGCUCCGAUACGCAUUUUUGGUAUCAGGUUCUUUAAGGAAUCGAGUGUGGAAGAAAGAGAGCACGCUGAGAAGUUGAUUCAUCCGUGCUAAUUUCUUUUGAAUGUUUGUGGUGUGAUCUUCAGGGACAUGGCAUUUCAAUAAAAUGCUUCUGGAACUAGUUUGUGUGUUAGUUUCUCAAGCUUGAUUCCAAGACCGGUUCAAUCUGAAAUGAAAUUGAAGUUUUGGUUUAAUCCCAAACAAAAAGGUCCAUCCAAACUUUACAAUAUGGGCCGCCAGACUUUUGGCCCAUCUAAAACCUAACUGACUUGGCUUUCCCGCAACGGCACCGUUUAGCUUCACAUCUCUGACGUUAGUCUGCGUUUCUCGCUCCUCUCUUCCUGAUAGCUCCGUCGCUCAAAACCCUAAUCCAUCGAAAGCCCAUCAACCGACAUGGCGAGUCUAGAGUGCCGGAUGUACGAAGCCAAGUACCCAGAAGUCGACAUGGCUGUGAUGAUCCAAGUCAAGAACAUCGCCGACAUGGGAGCCUACGUGUCCCUCCUCGAGUACAACAACAUCGAAGGCAUGAUCCUCUUCUCCGAGCUCUCCCGCCGUCGGAUCCGGAGUGUCAGCAGCUUGAUCAAGGUCGGGAGAAUCGAGCCCGUCAUGGUCCUGCGUGUGGAUAAAGACAAGGGUUACAUUGAUCUCAGCAAACGUAGAGUCAGCGAGGAAGAUAUUCAGACUUGCGAAGAGAGGUAUAACAAGAGCAAGCUCGUUCAUUCUAUCAUGCGUCAUGUCGCUGAGACUCUUUCUAUCGAUUUGGAGGUAAUUCAAAAUCCAAUCUUUUAUGUAAAGUUCCUACCUUUGUGUAAUCAUAGUAGCUUACAUUGAGUUUGAGUCAAUAAAAAUCGAAUCUUUAGUGAUAUUGAUUAUGCAAAUUCAUGUAUAUAGUGUAAAGUUGCUACCUUUGUGUAAAUUAUAGUAGCUUGCAUUGGUUUGAGUGGAUAAUAAUCGAAUCUUUGGGGAUAAUGAUUAUCCAAAUUAUUUAGCUACCUUUGUGUAAUAAUCAUAGUAGCUUAAAUUGAUUUGAGUUAAGUAAAAAUCGAAUCUUUAGUGAUAUUGGUUAUGCAAAUUCAUGUAUCUAGUGUAAAGUAGCUACCUUUGUGUAAUUAUAGUAGCUUGCAUUGAUUUGAGUAAAUAAAAAUUGAAUCUUUAGUGAUAUUGAUUAUGAAACUUAUGUAUCUAGUGUAAAGUAGCUACCUUGUUAUGUACAUUGAUUUGAAUUUAUCUAUUGCAGGAGUUGUAUGUGAACAUUGGGUGGCCUUUGUACCGGAAACAUGGUCAUGCUUUUGAGGUAAGAGUUUGUGAGUUGAGCUUUUGCUGUAUUCAUGUAGAUAUUUAGUAUUUAGAGAUUUUUGUUUUUUUGUUUUGUUCAGGCUUUCAAGAUCUUAGUGACUGAUCCUGAUUCAGUGUUGGGUUCACUCACACGUGAGGUCAAAGAAGUUGGGCCUGACGGGCAGGAGGUAUAUUACUUUGUUCUCUGGCUUCAUUUUUUUUGUUUUUGUUCCUAAUCUUGGGAUAUUUCUAUUUGUAGGUGACUAAAGUUGUACCUGCUGUUACGGAAGAAGUGAAGGAUGCUCUUGUGAAGAACAUUAGGAGGAGGAUGACACCACAACCGAUGAAAAUCCGUGCUGAUAUCGAGUUGAAAUGUUUUCAGUUUGACGGAGUUGUCCACAUCAAGGUCAUAAACUCUUAUUUGAUUAUCUAUAACAUAUGGAAAGAAUACAUCAAUGGUUUCAUUUGAUUUUCUCACACACAUACUUGUAAUUUCAAUUUCAGGAGGCCAUGAGAAAGGCUGAAGCUGCUGGAAACGAUGACUGUCCUGUGAAGAUUAAGUUGGUUGCUCCGCCUCUUUAUGUCCUUACUACUCAGACUCUUGACAAGGUUAGACAAUCUCUUAUUUUGAAGCUAUGUUUUUAUCUUAUUGUAUUUAAUCUUGUCAGUGUCUAAUAACAUAAUAAACAGGACCAAGGGAUUGAAAUUCUGACGGAAGCCAUAGUAGCUUGCACCGAGACAAUUGAUCAACACAAAGGCAAGCUCGUCGUUAAGGAAGCACCUAGAGCUGUGAGUAUCUUCUUCUUUAGUUGUUGAACCAUCCCAAGUUGCAUAUUACAAGAACUAGCUUUCCUUUAUUUGUAGAGUCUUAAAAUGUGUGUUUGACAGGUGAGUGAAAGAGAUGAUAAGAUGCUGACAGAACACAUGGCUAAGCUAAGAAUGGACAAUGAAGAAAUCAGCGGGGAUGAAGAAAGUGGAGAAGAAGAAGAGGACACAGGGAUGGGUGAAGUUGACAUUGAAGGAGCCGGAAUCAUUGAGUAGAAUUCGAAGAGUUUGUGAGUUGAGCUUUUGCUGUAUUCAUGUAGAUAUUUAGUAUUUAGAGAUUUUUGUUUUUUUGUUUUGUUCAGGCUUUCAAGAUCUUAGUGACUGAUCCUGAUUCAGUGUUGGGUUCACUCACACGUGAGGUCAAAGAAGUUGGGCCUGACGGGCAGGAGGUAUAUUACUUUGUUCUCUGGCUUCAUUUUUUUAGUUUUUGUUCCUAAUCUUGGGAUAUUUCUAUUUGUAGGUGACUAAAGUUGUACCUGCUGUUACGGAAGAAGUGAAGGAUGCUCUUGUGAAGAACAUUAGGAGGAGGAUGACACCACAACCGAUGAAAAUCCGUGCUGAUAUCGAGUUGAAAUGUUUUCAGUUUGACGGAGUUGUCCACAUCAAGGUCAUAAACUCUUAUUUGAUUAUCUAUAACAUAUGGAAAGAAUACAUCAAUGGUUUCAUUUGAUUUUCUCACACACAUACUUGUAAUUUCAAUUUCAGGAGGCCAUGAGAAAGGCUGAAGCUGCUGGAAACGAUGACUGUCCUGUGAAGAUUAAGUUGGUUGCUCCGCCUCUUUAUGUCCUUACUACUCAGACUCUUGACAAGGUUAGACAAUCUCUUAUUUUGAAGCUAUAUAUUGUAUUUAAUCUUGUCAGUGACUAAUAACAUAAUUAAACAGGACCAAGGGAUUGAAAUUCUAACGGAAGCCAUAGCAGCUUGCACCGAGACAAUUGAUCAACACAAAGGCAAGCUCGUCGUUAAGGAAGCACCUAGAGCUGUGAGUAUCUUCUUCUUUAGUUGUUGAACCAUCCCAAGUUGCAUAUUACAAGAACUAGCUUUCCUUUAUUUGUGGAGUCUUAAAAUUUGUGUUUGGCAGGUGAGUGAAAGAGAUGAUAAGAUGCUGACAGAACACAUGGCUAAGCUAAGAAUGGACAAUGAAGAAAUCAGCGGGGAUGAAGAAAGUGGAGAAGAAGAAGAGGACACAGGGAUGGGUGAAGUUGACAUUGAAGGUGCCGGAAUCAUUGAGUAGAAUUCGCCGGUAAUACCGUUUUUUCCGACCAAUCUUCUUUCUGUCUGUUCGUAGUAUUUUUGUUUUAAAAGUAGAAAACAUCCGAGAGGUUGUGGUGUUUCUUCUUUUUGUGGAGACAUGUUUUUCACCCGUUGAGGGGUUUACUCAUGAUUUUAUAUUUGACUAUUUUUGCGGCGUUUGACAUUUUUGAGUUUAAACCUGAAUAGAUUUGGCUAUGAGAAGUGUGGCUAAUCAUCAGUAUACCAGAGUUAAAUCAGAUUUGAUCCCUUGAAAGAUGCAUAUAAUCUAUUAUCUGAGAUCUUAUACUGAGUCUGGUGGAUUCAAAGUUUAAAGCUUUACCAUCUGAAGUUGAAAAAAUAACUAUAUUUGUUCCAAGUAUUCAAAGUGUUUCUUUCUAUGACAAUAUAUAUCCAAGCCCAAAAGAAAAGCAAGUUGUUCAGCUUAGCCGAAAAGUUUGACGUUAAGCCCAUUUUAAAUUUUCUUCAUCUUUUCAGGAAGAAUAAUAUAAAAUAUAUUUUCAUAUUGAUUUUCAUAACAUUAGAACAUGAAAAUGUUGAGAAAAAUAAAUACAUUAUAAUAUGAAAGUAAAGCAAUUUAGUUAGAAAGAAUCGUGGGGUUUGCUUGCUGACUAGUACCCAAACAAGGAAGGAUCCCACAUGGUUUUAAGAAUUGGGAGACUAAAGAAAGCAACAGCUAAGCAGCCUCCACAUUGAACCAGUCAUAAUUUUCUCUCCUCCACAUAAUUAAGAUGACAAAUCAUUCCUUCAACUUCAAUCAUUAUUAACAUAUCUUCACACCAAAUUUACGUGGCAUUUUCUAUUUUGUUUGCCUUGGUUGAAUUUUACAACCGAAUAAAAGUUUGUAGGAAAAAAACAAGAAAAUGAAGAUAGAAACCAUUUGCUACGCCACAAGUCUUUUUUUUUUAUGGCAGCUGGCUAAUUGGGAGUUCCCUUGUGAACCCUUUUACUACUCUACCACAACAUUCUUUGAGACUAAUUUGUUGAACAUUAAAUGUGGCUUUUUCUGGAAAAGUUUGAUUUUAUGAAAAGACGAUAGAAAUUUAGAAAAAUAAGUCUUAGCAUUUGGUAGCCAUUGACGUUGUGUACCCGUUUGGGUUUAGAUCGGAUUUUUAGAUUUUCAAAUUCUGUUUCCAAAACCUCAUUCAAAUUUAUAUAUGUUUGGGUUGAGUAAAUUUAUACUUCAAAUUCAGGUAUAUUAUAUAACUUUGGCAGAAAAUCCAAUUUGGAUUUGAAUUCAUUUUAGAUUCAGUUAAUAAUACUUCAUAUUUUAGUAUUUUUAGAUAUCAUAUCAAAAUAAACCUUAAAUUUAGAUUUGAUAAUUUAUUUAGGUAUUAGAUACUUAUUUUGGAUACUAUUUCAGAUUUAUUUUUGAAUUGAAUAAUUUUGAGUUUCUUUUAGUUACUUUAACAUUCAUUUUUGUGUAUAAUUGUUCAUGUUUAAUUAAUAACAUUUCGGGUUCUAAUAUAUUUCGUAUAUAACCAUUUCCAAUGUUUUUACAGAAUUCAUUUCGGAUAUUUUAGUGGGUAUUUUAGUUCGAGUUUCUAGUUUUUCUUCCCGAACCUAGUAUUUGGUUUUGUUUAAAUUGUUUGGUUUUGAUUUUUUUCCGUCUUGGAAAAGUAAGUAGUAAUAUAAUUGUAUUUUGGUUCGGUUCAGUUUACUAGUACUUGUAAUGUGUUAUCGUUGACCAAUACUCUUUGUUUUUUUGGACGUAUAGAUUCGUUUCCUUAUUAGCCUUAACAAGGUGCAACGCGUUUUCCAUCAAAAAUGAAAAAGUCUUAUGCUUCCUUCCUCUCUUAUCUUCUCAUAAACCCGUCUUUUCGUCAACCUUCUCCCUGUUUUUCUGAUACUCUGCUCCUAGUCUCAAAAUAUUCAGAUCCAUAAAACUCUAGGUUCCAUCAUCUUCUUGCGUCAUCCUGCUCAACUCUCACGUUCUUACUCUGUCAUGAAUGAGAAACGAAGAUCCACCGUUAGUUCGAUACUAAAGAUGCGUUCUCUUAUGGCUUUUGUAGUCCUUCUCAGCUUCGGCUCGUGUUUUUCGCUUAAGGAAGAAGGUACCUGAAGCUUUCUUGCAUGUUUUGUCUGAACGAGUUCCCUGAGAAUAUGUUUUCAUCCUUCUCUGUUUCGCUUUGUGUUUUCAGGUUUAGAUAAAGAUAGAUUAGAGAAAGAUCUAUGGUCUGAUGAAGACUCAGCAAUUCUGUAAGUUUAUUUAUCUCAAAUCUUGUUUGGUAUAACAACAACUUGAACUUGUAGUUGGUGGUUGGUUGGUAGAUCUAUAGUUUCUCUAGUCAUUCCAUAACUUGAGUGACUUCACACACACACACACUCUGUAUCGUAUGUUAUGUAGAAAAAAAAAACCGUUGUUAGUUACAAGUAAGUAUUGUUAGUGAUUGUUGUGAACAAACGCUAAUCAAACAAGAAAAAUCUAGAAAAUUUAGAGAGCAACACUCUAUUUUGAGGUAAAUAUCCGUUAUAAGGUUUUAAUAUUGAUUAUGUAAAUAAAUAAUUUACAAGUUUUUAAAUCCAUAUUCAUACAGCCUCAAAAUCCAAUAUUCAUUUUCUUUAACUUUUUUUUAGUCUACUAAAAAUGAUUUUCAUAAUCCUAAAAGAUAUAUAAUAUCGCAGAGUAAACCUCAUCUCUUAGAUAUCAAUCUUGAUAACGAAUCAAUCUGUCUUGCUCCACAGAUAUUUAAUUUACUUCUAGAAUCAACACUAAACAUGUAUAUUUAUCAUUUUGAUCUUAAAAGGGGACGGUCUGAGAUUUUGGGGUCUUACACGAUUUAGUAAAGAUUUUAAUUUGGGGAACUAAAAUAAUUUUGGAGCAUAUCUAUAUAUAAACUUUUUCAAAAAUUUUGGGACCUAAGAAGAAUGUUUCGUUAGGCUUGGGCCAGGACCGCCUUGAAUUCAUGUUGCAAUGACAUAACCUUAUUUUUGUUUUUCUACUUUCUCUGUAGGAAAGCAGUUGGGUUUCACAGGAAAGCACUUGUACCUCGUGAGCCAUUAACAUACGACAACUUGCCUUCCAGAAGAAACAGCCGCGAGGCUAUGCCUGCAGCUGCAACUAUCACACCACCAUCAUCCCCACAACCUUCUCAUAAAAAUGUCUCAACUCAUUCUUCAACAGCUUCGGAUCCAGAACCUACGCAAGAUGCUUCUACUUCACCUCCUCCUACUCCUCCUCCUACGUCUGUUCCCCAUGAAAACUCUCCUACUCCAAGAACCUCUUCGUCUUCUUCUUCAGUGGUUGUUCCUGUAGUUCUUGCCUGCGUGGGCGGUGUUGUUCUCGUC